CUACGGGAGGCAGCAGUGGGGAAUAUUGGACAAUGGGGGCAACCCUGAUCCAGCGAUGCCGCGUGUGUGAAGAAGGCCUGCGGGUUGUAAAGCACUUUUAGUGAGGAGGAAGAGCCUAUUGUAAAUAAUGAUAGGUAGUGACGUUACUCACAGAAAAAGCACCGGCUAACUCUGUGCCAGCAGCCGCGGUAAUACAGAGGGUGCAAGCGUUAAUCGGACUGACUGGGCGUAAAGGGCAUGUAGGCGGACAUAUAAGUUAGAUGUGAAAUACACGGGCUCAACCUGUGGGCUGCAUCUAAUACUGUAUAGCUAGAGAACAGCAGAGGGCAGUGGAAUUUCCGGUGUAGCGGUGAAAUGCGUAGAUAUCGGAAGGAACACCAGUGGCGAAGGCGACUGUCUGGGCUGGAUCUGACGCUGAGAUGCGAAGGCGUGGGUAGCGAACAGGAUUAGAUACCCUCGUAGUC
rnacentral:rRNA from 1 species